GCGAGAGUGGCGGAACCGGCAGACGCACUGGACUUAGGAUCCAGCCCUGUUGACGCAGGAUGGGGGUUCAAUUCCCCCCUCUCGCACCA
rnacentral:tRNA from 1 species